CCGUGCUAGACGGGGAGGUAGCGGUGCCCUGUAGCCCGCAAUCCGCUACAGCGGGGUUGAAUCCCCUCUCGAGGCUUCUUCGCGUUGAAUGAGCUUCACGGGGCGGCGUUGAGGGUUGGGCCCCACGCAACGAGAAUCGUCGAACCCCGCCAGGCCCGGAAGGGAGCAACGGUAAGGCGACCCUCUCGUGUGCCGUGGGAGUACCUGACCGGAGCAGGUUCCGUGGAGAGAUCGCAGGGCGAGCGAGGUCGAUUGAGGGUGCACGG
rfam:Bacterium CSP1-6 XT13_C0003, whole genome shotgun sequence.